rnacentral:rRNA from 1 species
CCUACGGGGGCAGCAGUGGGGAAUAUUGGACAAUGGGCGAAAGCCUGAUCCAGCCAUGCCGCGUGUGUGAAGAAGGCCUUCGGGUUGUAAAGCACUUUCAGUGGGGAAGAAAGCCUUGGGGUUAAUACCCUCGAGGAAGGACAUCACCCACAGAAGAAGCACCGGCUAACUCCGUGCCAGCAGCCGCGGUAAUACGGAGGGUGCGAGCGUUAAUCGGAAUUACUGGGCGUAAAGCGCGCGUAGGCGGUCUGAUAAGCCGGUUGUGAAAGCCCCGGGCUCAACCUGGGAACGGCAUCCGGAACUGUCAGGCUAGAGUGCAGGAGAGGAAGGUAGAAUUCCCGGUGUAGCGGUGAAAUGCGUAGAGAUCGGGAGGAAUACCAGUGGCGAAGGCGGCCUUCUGGACUGACACUGACGCUGAGGUGCGAAAGCGUGGGUAGCAAACAGGAUUAGAUACCCCAGUAGUC